GCCAAAAAAAAAAAGAAAUAGAAUUCUUUCAUUUUAUUUAGGAACUUUUGAAUAUUUCAGCUUACUUCCAAAUCAUAGUUCUGUAUAUUUCGUUUACAGAAUAUAUAUUUGAUAUAUAUCGCUAUAUAUAUAGAUAUCUAUAUAUAAAACGAAAAUCCACCGACUUAGGGAAUAAAGUUUUCGGGGAAUUACCCUAAUCAUCGAAUUCCCUCGUAUUGCAAGUAGAAAACUUUCAAUAUUUCACUUCUGCAAACAGGGAGGCCCAUUUGUCAAACUGUUUUCGGCUAGAGCCCCAUCAUUACAGACAAACUCGGAUGUGGAUAUACAUAAUACUUUUUUUUUUAUGGUGAAUGGCUUCUUAUCACUUCUGACAUCGGCUUUAAUAGAUUGGAUAACGACCUACAUUUUCUUCUCUCUCUCUCUUUUUCUGACACUCUCUCAUCCCCUCGAUCACGUGACUCGGAGUAAAAAUCGUUCCGAUCCGGUUUCUGAAAGCCCGCGGCUUAAAAUUGCUUUUUGGUAUGUCAUUAGAAGGUACGACGGUACAUUAAGGAUUUAAAAAUCUUGUUUCUGACGUCAUUUCUAGACGUUUCGACUCUAGGGAAAAAAAAAAAAAAAGAAAACUUUAGAUGCAGAAAAACCAAAAGUCCAAUUUGAUUUAAUGUCUAAUUAGUCGUGAUUUUCUAAACUGAAACUUGUACCGAUACUAUAUUCCUUGUCUGGUUUUUAUUGAGUUGAUUGAGCACGACGUAGUCUUCAUUCCACUCUUCCAUUAAACUCUGAUUUGUUUUAUGAUUUCAAAUGGGAU
rnacentral:lncRNA from 1 species